GGAGGCUGGCGGCGGACGGGUCGCCGGCUAAUCCGGUCAGGUCCGGAAGGAAGCAGCCGUAACCGGUCUGACUCGGGUCGUUCGUUCAGCCUCCCAC
rnacentral:SRP_RNA from 1 species